AGGUUGCCAAAGCACAUGAAAUUCUCCCCCCUAAGAUUCAGCAAAACCUAAAGUUAUUGUCUUUCCUUCUGUUACAGGUGUUGGCUUCUGUCACAAGAUGGUAGCGGGGCAGCUCAGCAUGCGCGUGCAAGUUGGCACCCCAAGCCCCAUCAGCAGCCGUCCGAGUGGCCCCGCUCCUGCUCGCCGCGGGCACCUUCGAGGAGCAAAGGCAAAAUUUGAUCCCGAUGGAUGCAAAAGGUUGACAGCCCUAAGAGCAGAGCGGAGAGACAAAGUCCCAGCUGCCGCCUUGGUGUUUUGGUUCUGGGGCCAGCCCGGAGCUCUGCCCCUCACCUCAUCUUGACCUGCUGAGUUCAUCCUUCCUGGACGUCACAGGGGCUAGUCCUCUCUCUGCUUUUUUCUGGCCA
rnacentral:lncRNA from 1 species